rnacentral:tRNA from 1 species
GCUCAUGUAGCUCAGUACGGUAGAGCGCAUCCUUGGUAAGGAUGAGGCCAUCGGUUCAAGUCCGAUCGUGAGCACCA